rnacentral:rRNA from 1 species
UACGGAAGGCAGCAGUGGGGAAUAUUGCACAAUGGGCGCAAGCCUGAUGCAGCCAUGCCGCGUGUAUGAAGAAAGCCUUCGGGUUGUAAAGUACUUUCAGUCGUGAGGAAGGUGUUAAGGUUAAUAACCUUAGCAAUUGACGUUAGCGACAGAAGAAGCACCGGCUAACUCCGUGCCAGCAGCCGCGGUAAUACGGAGGGUGCGAGCGUUAAUCGGAAUUACUGGGCGUAAAGGGCACGCAGGCGGUUAAUUAAGUUGGAUGUGAAAUCCCCGGGCUUAACCUGGGAAUGGCAUUCAAGACUGGUUAGCUAGAGUCUUGUAGAGGGGGUAGAAUUCCAUGUGUAGCGGUGAAAUGCGUAGAGAUGUGGAGGAAUACCGGUGGCGAAGGCGGCCCCUGGACAAAGACUGACGCUCAUGUGCGAAAGCGUGGGGAGCGAAACAGGGCUUAGAUACC